UACCCUGCACUGUGAGUGCAGGUGCCUUUUGAAAUUUAUAUCUGUAAUUCGAGCAUUUAGCAAAGUCCUUGACACACAGAUACUGAAUAAAUAAUUGCUACAUGAGUGAGUGAAGACCUCAGUGAUUGGAUUAAUUUAUUUGUGAACAAUUCCUACCCUACUCUCACCCCUCAACUGGGUCAGUUACUCACCUAUAUAACAAACAUUUAUUUAGAACCUACUAUCAUUUUUGUAUUUAUUUGGCUCUCCAGAUAUUGUGCAUAUAGUUGGCCUAAAUAAAAAUGUCUGUAGAAUGGAUGAAUGAAUCCUCAGCACCUGAAAUAGUGCCUGAUGCAUUGUGGGUGCUCGAUCAGUAUCUAUGUGAGUGAAUGGAUCUUCUUAAAGUGAGGCUCAUCUGUAUUUACAUGGGUUUCCAUAUGGCUAUGUGAAUAUUCCCAAGUCUUUUUUCUCCCUCAUUGAGCCCUCUGUUCCCAGGACAAUCUGUACACAGCAAGAGGAGGAAGUAUCAGGAAACCAGAAUGAGGAACACAUAGCCCUUAAUGUCAGAGAGCCCUCAUGAGGAAAACUGAGUGGGGACAUGGUGUCUUCAGCAGAAGACAUGGAGUGGGAUCAUCAUUCUUCUAGAGUCUUAAGCCCUGCCACUGGCCAGAGGCCUCCUCUACUGGGGCAUCCUCACUUACCAAGUAUCAAAGAGAGUGGACCUUG
rnacentral:lncRNA from 1 species